AACGCCCCAGCUCACUAGCAACAAUAACUCGUCGGGCCCAACCACCGACCCAAAAUGCUUAAGCCCAGUUAUUAUUAGUAGUGUCUAUGUCUCUUAUAUAUCCAAUCACAUCCCCAUUCAUAUCCGAUGUGGGAUUAUUGGAGUGUGACACGGUUGAAGACUACAAAUCCAACCAAUGUGGAGAUAGUUAGAAUUUGGUUAGAUUUGUAGUUGAAUCCUAAUUGGAUUAAGAUUAAUAUUUAAAUCUAUUGGAGAUAAAUUAAGAUUUAAAUAUUAAUUAGAGUAUGAAUCUAACUAGAUUAGGAUAAAUAUUUAAAUCUAUUGGAGAUAAAUUAAAUAUAGAUUUAAAUAUUUAUUAGAGUAGGAAUGGUAAAUAUACUAGGAUUUGGGUACGUUUUAUUGUAAGCAUUAUAUAAGCACCAUGUAGAGUGCUUUGGGAGGGUGAGUACAGCUUAAAAGUUGAAGCUCUUUGGUGGGUUGUACCAGAGAGAGAGAGUUGGCCGGUUGCAUGCACCUAGUGCAUGGGUGCAUGUAAGAGAGAAAGAGAGUUGUCUUAUAAAUUUAUAAAAGACAAGAGAUGGAUAGAAGAGAUUCAGAAAGAGGGCUUGGGUUGUAGCUUCUCUGUGCAAAAGAGGAGUCAGGUGUAAUCUUCUCUUAUUUAAUGAAUCUUAUUUUACCUGCAUAUUUUUCUCUUUUAUGAUUGUAUCAGCUUCUGCUGAGGAGACGGGUUUAUGGUAAAAAUCCGAUUUGACGCUUCUAUUGCGAAAUCCCAACAAUUGGUACCAGAUCCACAGU
rnacentral:lncRNA from 1 species